GUCACGCUGUGGGUACAUCCUCGCCUUGCAGCGCUUGAAGGAAACGGUCCUGCUCCCGGAUCUCGUCACGGGCUGGCAGGGAGAAGUGAGGUUUGAAGGGAGCGAAUGCCACGUACCCUGUAGGCAGCGUGCCGUAUGGCCCACGGCUGAGUUUUCCAUCCCCGCCGUCGACCCCAGACUCUGUCCCUUGCUCUUGUUACUCCAGCCUUGGUUCUGCUCUUGACCGGCCCCACGUGGCCCCGCUGAUCCUCCUGCUCCCUCCUGUCUCAACCCUCACCACGCUCCUGCCUUUGGCUGGCUCCUCUGCUUCUGAGGGUUCCUCAUUUCUACCCAUCCUUCCUACCAAACCUGACUUUGAUCUUUGUGGUCUUCAUUUUAAAGCAGCCCAAGCCUGAGCUGACCACCCUUGGCCAAGUUACAACAGCACUCUUCUCGCACGCCUCGCCAGGAAGCCGAAACGUGGGUUUCAGUCAGUUCCCACGUAGAGAGCGGUGCCGUCGGGGAUGGCAUCGCUGUGCCAGCGAGCAUCGCUGGGCUGGUGGGCCUGGGCUCACGUGGGUCCCGUUAAAACUCUAGUGGCUGUGACUGAGGACGAGGGAGCAGGAGCCGCAGCUGGAGGACGGGGAAGAGGAGGAGCCAGGUUUCAGGGAUGGGCUGAGGAAGGAAGGAUUGUGCGGAGAAGCCAUCUGUAAAAAGAAAACAUUGGGAGUCAACAACUCAGCUGAAUUCCCCAUACUUGCUACUUUAGGUUGGCUUGGAAAUGAAUUUUUCAGCUAAAAUGGCCAAGUUAUGUAUAAAAGUGAGACAACCUUUUUCUCUUAAGAAGUUAUUUUGUCUAGAGAAGUCUCUUAAAACCUCGAUAAGUGGCAAGAUGGCACCAUUUCUGUGGCAGACUGCCCGGGGAGAUGUAAAAAAUUCUUCCACGCACCCGUAAUUCAUGCAUUGAACACAUCCAGUUUGAAGCAUCCCUCAGAGAACUUGCCCAUCCUAGCAACUCCCUGGUAAGUCAGCAAUAGCUUCCUCAUGGAAGUAAUUUUUCCUAGGCUGCCUGCAAACAGCCCGGCAGGGACCCGAGCCUCCCGGUGCCGCUCGCGGGUGCCUUGCUGAACGUAUCUGCCCUCCGAGAACACGCUAAGUGCCGUAGGGAAGUUUCCUCCAUCGUCAUCGCCUAGGGCUUCUCCCUCGUCUCACGCUGCUGGGGACAAAAAUCCCGGUGCUCGGGGUGUGAAGGAGAGCCCCGGCUAGGCGGGAGGCUGGAGUCAGGGUGCGCUGCAGAACAAGCCUGAUCUUCUCUUGCCUACGGAGAUUUCCAAUCCUGUGGCUAAAUCCUUCUCGAUACCUGCCUGCUGCAGAGGGGAGAAGUGCUUCUUCCUCACCUGCGCCGCCGGCUGCCGGGUAGGAUGCCUCUCGGCGUGGCCCGGGGAACGUGAGGGAUCUGUUUUUAGGAAAAUAUUUCAAGCGACACAUCAAGCAUUUAAAAUGCUGGCUGCGUGUCGCUCUGUCGGCUUCCCGACUGGGAGCGUGCGGGUGUGCGAUCCUUGCUGUAGGAUCACCCUCAGGCAGUCGGCUCCUGGGGCUGGCUUUGCUUUUCUUUAUUUUUUUUUUUUUCAAAAGGAAAAAAGGUUAAAAGGCUGCUGAAGUCCCAGCUGGCAACACUGCGAAGGAAGAUAAAGGAUGUCCAACCAAAUACAUAAGGGAAGGGAUACGGCAACCUUGAGUGCGUAGCCCUUGCAAGUAAUUAGGCGAACAGUUCCCUGGUGUAAAUGCAUUCGUGUGUGCUUGAGAGAGGCCUGGCUGCUGAGUUAAGCGGCACCCGGUGGUGCUGCCGUUUUGUUACGAUAGCUAGAAAGAAACAACAGUUUGCUUUUUUCCAGGCAGCAGACUCGGAGUGGGUUUCAGUUGGGCCUCGUUGAGUAACUUGGGUUCCCCCACCAGAAAGGUACAGUUUCAGGUUUAAAUCGAACGUGCAUGUGUGUACGCAGAGAAAAAGAUGAGAAGACUUACCUUCUGCUUUCAGAAGUAGUUCGUAUCGACUGCCUGUUCGUUUAUUUUGUCCUUUCCUACUCAUAAGCUGGUAUCUGUUAGGUUGUACUUAGCCGAAUGUUUUUAUUAUUAUUUUAGAAAGGCUUGUUUCAGGGUGUGAACUAGAGCGGAGAAGGAACUGCAACCCCGUCCCGUUUCCUCAUGGAAAUUAAUUCACAGAGCAGAAUGCCGAGUCGAGAUGCGCAGCACGAGGUGCUGCGUGGUGCCUGUCCGUACGGAACAGGGAAAUGCCACCGGGCAGGACAGCAAGAGGCAGGUUUUGCUCUCGAGUAUUUUUUUCAGAGGAGAUUUGAAACCCACCUGCUGGGGAUGGGUUAAGGCAUCCUGCUGGGAAGCAGCUCGUCCCGCACCGCUCCGUUUUGGGGGCACGAACCGCAGUGUUCAGGGUAUCCGCGCUGGGAUUCCCUAACUACAGGUGGUUUCUGUGAAAGCCCUGGCCUUUCAAAAGUUUCUUUUCCUACAGGAAGAGGUGGAUCUCUCUCUCUGCCCCCCUCCUCUUCUUGCUCUUUCCUUUCCCUUCUGUGGCAUUCAAUCUGAUAGCCAGCAAGAGGAAUAAUAAUUAAUAGGCUAUGUGUGUAUUGCCUAUAGUCAGAUUGUUAAAUGAGUGACCCGAUGACAUAAAAACUAAUGUCCGUGGUGCUGUUUCAGCAGCAUUAGUCGUUUCUCCUGGCAUUUUAACUUCCCAGGGCCCCACAGCUGUCGAGUGGGUAUUUUCUGUAAAACAGGCAGCAUUUGAAACGUUCCUAACCCCGGGUAAAGGUUCCCUCCAGCCUCUGUACAACAUGACUUCAGCCCUGUACUAUGCAGGACUGAAUCCGCUCUGAUGACCCAUGUGGCAGAGAGCUUCUGUAAUCUAUACCAUGAGGUCACAUUUCAAUACCGGGAGCAACCGAGACUGAAGUCAUGAUUUAAACCACUGGAGUAAAUAUAGUUUUUACAUUAGCGCAUUGCAGACCUAACUUGGGGGAUUAUGUCACAGGAUAUUUUUUUCUGAAUUGUCUCAAAUAAAAUCUUAAGGCCUUCUGGUUAUUA